AUAAAUCUAGCGUUCUCAAGCGAGGAAUAAACGGGAAGCCCUGUCCCAGCAAACAAUGCCAGUCUUGGGCACUGACUCAGGGGGCAGCAGAAUUGUGGGAUUUCAGAGCCGUUAGAGCUCCCAGAUACCAUCUGGGCGUGUUGCAGAUGAGGUCCUCUCAGGUUCUAACGGAGAUCUUCCUGACCCAGCAUCUGGGUAGAGAUAAGGAGGUGUUUUUGCAAUUUGUUUUUUCCAUACUUUUUCCCAUUUACUUUAUUGUUCAUUAAGUGCAAUAUAUUAAUGCAAAUCUAUUUCAAGCUCCAAGUAUGCGAUUAGAAAAGAACUUAUUUUUCUGAAAAUACCUUUAAAAACAAAUCAUCCGGGACUUCCCUGGUGGCGCAGUGGUUAAGAAUCCGCCUGCCAGUGCAGGGGACAUGGGUUCGAGGCCCGGUCCGGGAAGAUCCCACAUCCCGCGGAGCAACUAAGCCCAUGCGCCACAACUACUGAGGCUGCGCUCUAGAGCCCGCUCGCCACAACUACUGGGCCCACACGCCGCAACUACUGAAGCCCGCAGGCCUAAAAGCCCGAGCUCCGCAGCAAGAGAAGCCACUGCAGUGAGAAGCCCGCGCACGGCAAGGAAGAGUAGCCCCCGCUCGCCGCAACUAGAGAAAGCCCGUGGGCAGCAACGAAGACCCAACGCAGCCAAAUAAAUAAAUACAAAUUAAAAAAUAAAUAAAUCAAACCAAAUCAAAUCCAAUC